UUUUUUUAAUAUCAGUGGAAUUAAUUUGUUGUCAUGUCGAGUGAUUAAUUUAACAGUUACGUGUCAACUGUUGGGAAUACAGCUUAAUGUCUUUGUUUUUUUGGCUUCUUUUGUUUUAAGUUUUUGAAUUUGUUGCUCUGAAAUUUUGUCUUUCAUUUCAUGGCUCCAAUAUAUAUAUUAUGGUUAUUUAAAAACAUGCAUCCGAGCGAACUAUAAUAUGUGCCAAACAUUGUUGCCGU
rnacentral:lncRNA from 1 species